GCCAGUAUAUAAGCUUGGGACCGCGUACAAUGAACUCUUCGUAGAAUCAGAGAACACGCUCGUAUCACGCAACCCUGCCGAGUAGCUAGGAAACCCCGAGAUAACGACAAGAUGAGACUGCUACUGUUUGUCUCUCUCUUGAUAGCGAUCCAGGUGUCGCUCGGUGCUGUCCGCCAAAACCAGCCACGGCUCCCACGACGCACCUGCUAUCGUUACUGCCCUACGAAUUAACUCGCUGUUCCGGAACUCUUUUGUACCAAGCUCGCAAGCUGAAGUUCGACCGACUGCACAAGGACGACGACACCUCGUUCAUUCACCUGCACUACUACCAGGACGAUCCUUACGGCUUGUGGUUUCUCUACGGAAUUUACGGCGGCGGCCCACGGCGGCGGCUACGGCGGCUACGGCGGCG